UGGGGAAUAUUGCACAAUGGAGGGAACUCUGAUGCAGCGACGCCGCGUGAACGAAGAAGGCUUUCGAGUCGUAAAGUUCUUUUAUAUGGGAAGAUAAUGACGGUACCAUAAGAAAAAGCCACGGCUAACUACGUGCCAGCAGCCGCGGUAAUACGUAGGUGGCAAGCGUUGUCCGGAAUUAUUGGGCGUAAAGAGCGCGUAGGCGGUCGUGCAAGUCAAUCUUAAAAGUGCGGGGCUUAACCCCGUGAUGGGAUUGAAACUGUGCGACUGGAGUAUCGGAGAGGAAAGUAGAAUUCCUAGUGUAGCGGUGGAAUGCGUAGAGAUUAGGAAGAAUACCGGUGGCGAAGGCGACUUUCUGGACGAAAACUGACGCUGAGGCGCGAAAGCGUGGGGAGCAAACAGG
rnacentral:rRNA from 1 species